CCUACGGGUGGCAGCAGUGAGGAAUAUUGGUCAAUGGGCGCGAGCCUGAACCAGCCAAGUCGCGUGAGGGAAGACGGUCCUCUGGAUUGUAAACCUCUUUUGUCGGGGAGCAAAAGCCGCCACGCGUGUCGUUCCGAGAGUACCCGAAGAAACCGCAUCGGCAAACCUCGUGCCAGCAGCCUCGGUAAUACGGAGGAUGCGUGCGUGAUCCGGAUGUAUUGGGUUAAACGGGUGCGCAGGCGGAAGAUCAAGUCAGCGGGAAACUUGAGAGGCUAAACCUCUUCGAGCCGUUGAAACUGGUUGUCUUGAGUGAGCAAGAGGUAUGCGGAAUGCGAGGUGUAGCGGUGAAAGGCAGAGAUAUCACGCAGAACUCCAGUGGCGAAGGCAGCAUACCGGCGCGCAACUGACGCUGAUGUACGAAAGUGUGGGUAGCGAACAGGAUUAGAUACCCGGGUAGUC
rnacentral:rRNA from 1 species